rnacentral:lncRNA from 1 species
AUUUCAUUUUUUUUUUGAACAUAUAUGUUUUUAUUAUUAAAAAAUCUAUUUUUCUAUCUUUAAAACUUCUUAAAAGGUAUGAAUGUGAAAAAAUUAUGAAUCAGCUUAGAUUGUUUAUUCAAUUAAAAUAAAUAUAACCAGUACAAUAAAUGGUAUUAGUUUUGUAAGAGAAUUAUAUUUCCAGAAAACUCACCAACCUUAUAAUAACAAUAAUAUUUGCCUUUGAAUUAUGCUUUUGUAUUAAAGUUGGUCUUGUGUUUUUAUAUAUUAUCAUUUUAUAAUAGUAUUUUAUUUUAUUUUUUGGGUUAAAAAGUUAUUUAUUUAUUUAUCAAUAAAAGAGGUUAUUGCUUCAAGAGCAAUGUGUUAAAGCAAGCUUUUGAUAUGUAGUAAUGAAUCACAAUGGAAUUGAACAUAACCAAGAAUCACACAAAUGCUUUUUCACAAAAAUAUGAUAACCUAACAAAAUAAUAAUGAUACUAAGAAGAGUAAUAAGUAAGAAAAGAAAUACAUAUUAUUCAUACACAUAUGUUACUUGCAAAAAUAGUAAAGUAAAUACUUAGAACCAUGAAAAUGCAAUAGAGAAGAAAUAUUCAAUUUAUAUAUUUUAAACAGUAUAUAUAUAAGAAGUUAACAAUGAUUUAUUUAUUUAUUUAUUUAUUUUCUCUGAAUCAGAAUUAUUAUGAAACACUAUGAAAUUAAAAAGAAAAAGAAAAAGAAAAAGAAAAAAGAUUGUUUAAAGUAAAAAUUCCCCUGUUUUUCUUGUACAUAUCCAAUGAUCUAGUUAAUCAAAUGAUUGUUUGUAAUACAUUUCACCAUUCUUGAUAGUAAUGAAAAUUUAUGAAACUGUAAAAUAAACAAGAAAACACAACAUUAUCUGGUGAGUGGAGAAGAUUAAAAAGUUGAAGAUAUUUCUAAUUAUAUCCGAAAUGUAUUUGGUAGUACCAUUUAUUUUUCCCCUUAAUUACUCGUCCAUAACUAAAGUUGUUCAUUCAUUUAUGUAUAUUUCUAUUUUAUCUUUAAUUUCAAAAUCUAAUAUUGAGGAAAUGCAUAAGGUAGUGACAAUUGCAACACUGCAUUUUCCAUGCUACAUGGUUGCUAGAAGUCAUAUGAUGAAUUUCAAAAGUGGAUGACAGCAGGGAUACAUCCAAAACAAAUGUGGUGAAUUCGAACAAAUAUUUUUAUACUCGAGGACAGACAACAGUGUUCUAAAAACAUAUAAAG